GCGUCCUGCCAGCUCCCGCCCCGCCAGGCUCCCCUCGGCGCGUCGGGGCUGAGCCAGCCGGAGGUGGCGGCGCGUUCGGCGGCGGCUGCUGGGGCUGAGGAGGCGGCGGCGGCGGCCGAGGGGCCAUGGCGGCCACGGAGCUUGCGCGCCAGGCGGGUGAAGGUUGCCGGACUGUCCCUCUUUCUGGCCACGUAGGAUUUGAUAGCUUGCCUGAUCAGCUGGUUAAUAAAUCAGUUAGCCAUGGUUUCUGUUUCAACAUCCUCUGCGUGGGAGAAACUGGUCUUGGGAAAUCCACGCUGAUGGAUACGCUGUUCAACACCAAGUUUGAAGGCGAGCCAGCAUCUCAUUCCCAGCCAGGAGUUCAGCUGAAAUCCAGUUCUUAUGAUCUGCAGGAAAGCAAUGUUCAUCUGAAGCUGACCAUUGUCAGCACACUGGGCUUUGGGGAUCAGAUUAACAAAGAAGACAGCUAUAAACCCAUUGUGGAAUUCAUUGAUACCCAAUUUGAAGCCUAUCUGCAAGAGGAGCUGAAAAUUAAACGGGUGCUGCAUAACUACCAUGAUUCCAGGGUCCACGCUUGCUUAUAUUUCAUCGCUCCCACAGGACAUUCUUUGAAAUCCCUGGAUCUGGUAACAAUGAAGAAACUGGACAGUAAGGUGAAUAUCAUUCCUAUUAUUGCCAAAUCUGACGCCGUCUCCAAGAGCGAGCUCACCAAAUUCAAAAUCAAGAUCACAAGUGAACUAGUGAGCAAUGGGGUGCAAAUCUAUCAGUUCCCUACCGACGAUGAAUCCGUGUCGGAAAUAAAUGGAACCAUGAAUGCUCACUUACCCUUUGCCAUCAUUGGCAGCACAGAAGAAGUCAAGAUAGGAAAUAAAAUGAUGAAGGCACGCCAGUAUCCGUGGGGGACCGUGCAGGUUGAAAAUGAAGCCCACUGUGACUUUGUGAAACUCAGAGAGAUGUUGAUCCGAGUAAACAUGGAAGAUCUUCGUGAACAAACCCACACACGCCAUUAUGAAUUAUAUCGGCGAUGUAAACUGGAGGAAAUGGGAUUUAAGGAUACCGAUCCAGACAGCAAGCCAUUCAGUUUACAAGAAACCUAUGAGGCCAAAAGGAAUGAAUUUCUGGGGGAACUGCAGAAGAAAGAAGAGGAAAUGAGGCAGAUGUUUGUCCAGAGAGUCAAAGAGAAGGAAGCAGAGCUGAAAGAGGCUGAAAAAGAGCUCCACGAGAAAUUUGACCGUCUGAAGAAGCUGCAUCAGGAUGAGAAGAAGAAACUGGAGGACAAGAAGAAGUCCCUGGACGAUGAAGUCAACGCAUUUAAGCAGAGGAAGACAGCCGCUGAAUUGCUUCAGUCUCAGACUCAGCAAGCAGGAGGUUCACAGACACUGAAAAGGGACAAGGAGAGAAAAAAUUAAUCCCUGCUGUUUGCUGCAUGGUGCAUGCAUGGUGCAUGAAGGCACCUUGUGCCGUUCAGGCUUCCUGUAGACCUUACUCUUUUGCUCCAGAAAAGACCAUCCCACGUUUUGAAUUAAUUUGCAGUCCACCCCUGUACCUUUUCUUCCUAGUGCAUCAUCUUGUUCCAUUCUGCAUUUUUUCUGUUUUGUUCUCUUUUCCUGAAUGCAAAAAGAGGUCAUACUCCCUUGACUGUUCGGGCGAAGAACUCGGCAAUGCUUUCUUGGAUCUGAUGAGCCAGGCUCCAAACCAUUAUCUGUUUUUAUCCUGUUGACCAGCAAUUUUUUCAGGACUGAUGUCCCGAAACGUUCAGCAUCAGCAUUUCAUUAAGGCACGGCCCAUGCAUGUGUGGGUGUGUUCAUGCACAUGUGAAUGGCCAGGCUGCAUGUCUGCUUAACAGCUGCAUGGGGACAGCUGAGCCCUUUCUCUCAAGAAGGGAGAGAAAAAAAAGUUGAGCAUAAAGGUUCCUUUUUUUCCUUUUUCCUUUGCUUUUUUGAAGAGCUUUAUAGGAUAUUUUUAAGGAGGUUUUUGUUCAUCCAAUUUUUGUUUUUCCCUGUGCCUUGACUGUUACAAAGCUGAACACAACAAAUGAGUGCAAAAAUAGGAAUCUGAAGGUGUAACCGGAGCUGUUUGCAACAUUUCCCAUCCCUAUCUGGGGAUACUGAAUAUUGAACCUUGGACCUUCUAUGUACAAGCAGGAGUUUUUCCAUUGAGUUAAACCUGGCCAGAAUCUAUAGCUCUGAAUUCAGUGGGCUUUGCUUGCAUGUUAGCAUUGCUACACUGUCCUCCUUAGUACUUCAUCCUGCAGGGAUAGAUAAGCAUCUCUUCUUUUUGUACAAAAAUAAUCUCAGUUAUUUCUCAGUCUAAAAAUAUGAACUCUGAAAAAAUAGACUCUUUUCUAUCCCAAAGCUGGAAAGGGAUAAAGAAUUCUAAGGCAUCCUUCAUUUCUACUUUGAUUUGAAUAUUUUUAAUCAUGGAAAGCUUGGUUUAAGAGCAGGGAAUUUUUGGCAGCCUCACAAAGUGACAUUUUCCAUGUUGUGUGGGAGAAGCUGGGGCAGUUCAAUAAUGCAGAUUUCAUGCAUUUUCCUGGCAGGAAACGUAUGUUUAGCAUUGCAGACUCAUAUUGAUACAAGGAAACAUACUAUGUGGGGUGUGUGAUAUAUAAAAUAAAAUAAAACCCCUUGGUCAUCCAGAA